rnacentral:lncRNA from 1 species
AUGAGAAACUCAGCGCAUGGGACGCAGGUUAAUAUUGAAGACAAUUCUUACGUCUCCAUGGAGCCACACAACUUCAGACAAAGCAAAGAUGAAAGCCACACCCAGAGCAAAUGUAGAUGGUUCACCAUCCCUUGGUGUCCUGGUUCACCAUCCCUUGGUCUCCCACUACCUGCUGAACAGCCACCAUCUCAUGAAAUUGGUUAUCUCCAGAAGUUUCCAGGCCAGGCGCCAAUAUGGGCUGAGAGUAACAUCAAAAACUCUACAGCUUGUAAAAUGAUGUUAAAGAGGUUUCUCCAAGGCGAUCUGAGUAAAAUACCAUCUUCCCUGCCGCAGGUUAGGACAGGGAAUUCCAGUGGCAAAAGGCUCACGCAGUGCUCCAAGCAGAGUGCACCUGCUUCCUUCCGCAAGAAAAGCCAAGAGCUGGAUGUGCGUUUGGUACCGCGGCUGAGGGUCACCCAGGUCAGUCUGGGUUCAAGCACCGGCCCUGUUUCCAAACCCGCCCCUUGCUGGUGUGCGCCCUGGGAAGGCACAGUCAGCGAUGGCUCCAGUGCCUGGGUGCCUGCCAGCCACAUGGGAGAGCCAGAUGGCGUUCUGGGAUUCUGGCACUGGCCUGGUCCACUCCUGGCUGUUGUGGGCAUGUGAGGGGGGACCCGUGGAUAGACGGUCUUUAUCUGUCUCGUUCUCUCUGCCUUUCAGAUGAAUAAAACUAAAUAAAGGACCA